GUGGGUGAUCUGCCCUGCACUUUGGGAUAAGCCUGGGAAACUGGGUCUAAUACCGAAUAGGACCACGCGCUUCAUGGUGUGUGGUGGAAAGCUUUUGCGGUGUGGGAUGGGCCCGCGGCCUAUCAGCUUGUUGGUGGGGUAAUGGCCUACCAAGGCGACGACGGGUAGCCGGCCUGAGAGGGUGACCGGCCACACUGGGACUGAGAUACGGCCCAGACUCCUACGGGAGGCAGCAGUGGGGAAUAUUGCACAAUGGGCGCAAGCCUGAUGCAGCGACGCCGCGUGAGGGAUGACGGCCUUCGGGUUGUAAACCUCUUUCAAUAGGGACGAAGCGCAAGUGACGGUACCUAUAGAAGAAGCACCGGCCAACUACGUGCCAGCAGCCGCGGUAAUACGUAGGGUGCGAGCGUUGUCCGGAAUUACUGGGCGUAAAGAGCUCGUAGGUGGUUUGUCGCGUUGUUCGUGAAAACUCACAGCUUAACUGUGGGCGUGCGGGCGAUACGGGCAGACUAGAGUACUGCAGGGGAGACUGGAAUUCCUGGUGUAGCGGUGGAAUGCGCAGAUAUCAGGAGGAACACCGGUGGCGAAGGCGGGUCUCUGGGCAGUAACUGACGCUGAGGAGCGAAAGCGUGGGGAGCGAACAGGAUUAGAUACCCUGGUAGUCCACGCCGUAAACGGUGGGUACUAGGUGUGGGUUCCUUCCUUGGGAUCCGUGCCGUAGCUAACGCAUUAAGUACCCCGCCUGGGGAGUACGGCCGCAAGGCUAAAACUCAAAGGAAUUGACGGGGGCCCGCACAAGCGGC
rnacentral:rRNA from 1 species